UACGUAGGGUGCGAGCGUUGUCCGGAAUUAUUGGGCGUAAAGAGCUCGUAGGCGGUGUGUCGCGUCGGUCGUGAAAACUUGGGGCUUAACUCUGAGCUUGCGGUCGAUACGGGCAUCACUGGAGUUCGGCAGGGGAGACUGGAAUUCCUGGUGUAGCGGUGAAAUGCGCAGAUAUCAGGAGGAACACCGGUGGCGAAGGCGGGUCUCUGGACAAGUACUGACACUGAGACGCGAAAGCAUGGGGAGCAAACAGG
rnacentral:rRNA from 1 species